UUUAUACGCAAUCAUAAGUUUUCAUUCAACUUUAAUCGUCUAUCUUAUUUUAACUUUUCUAUGAUUUAUAUUUUUAUUGUUACUAAAUGAUAAAACAUGAAAAAUAUUUUAUGCGUGAUUUUGUUUUUUAACUUUUUAAAUAAAAUAAAUGAUUAAAAUUGGAUACGGAAACUCAUGGUUGUGUUUAAA
rfam:Oryza punctata chromosome 1, whole genome shotgun sequence.